CCUCGGACAAGGUGGAGCGUGGCACGAUCAAACACAUGAUGCAAUUGACGCGACUUAUGGCGGCGCAUUACCUGAUUUUCUGCUGAAGGAUGUAUAAUAUCAAGGAGCCAACUGGAGGAAGUCAUAACCCAUUUAAGUUAUAGAGUUGGGCACCGGCGACGUUCGACAGCAAAGAUCGGCUGCACAUAUGCUCAACAAUUUUUUUCAUGCUGUCAUCCCUACUUCGCUUCUUCAACUGGAUUGCCACCACCUUCUGAAAGCAUGCAAUGUUUGUCUGAAGUUAGAAUUUGACAAACCUGGGACAAGCACAUUACCUGAUUUUCUGCUGAAGGUUAAUAGGAAGGAGCCAACUGGAGGAAGGCCAA